UUUAAAAAAAAUUAAACCCGUCAAAACCUCCAGCCGCCCUCCUUUCCGCCCAAAAUGGAAAAUUUCAUCCCAAAAUCGAAGGCUUUCGUCUCUGUCAUGGAGAUCGGGUCCUGCAUCCUCUUGCUCGUUCUUCGCGUCGAAGAAUCCGAUGAUCCAUGGCGAUCGAUCUGAAGAGUCGAAGAUUGACGUGGAUUUUCCCAUGACGAGGUUGAUUGAUGCGGGGCUUAUUGGAUCUGCAAGAGGGUCACUUGGUUGCCAAGGCAUCAACAUUCCCUUCAGGCAUAAAAGCUCUUGCAGAUUAUGUGCCUGACAAAGGGCUAAAGCUUGGAAUUUACAGUGAUGCUGGAAUGAUGAGGAAGAACGUGAAGAAGGAGAAGAAGACGGUUUGAGUAAAUGUAUAGGGAAGGAGUUGAAGAAGCUUCUGCAGUGUCAUAGCCAUUGUAAAUAAUUUAUGUAAAAGUUUGUAAACAAUUUAUGUAUCUCUCUACUAUUUUGGUGAAUGUAUUAUUUGAAUAUAAUUGGAUUUGAUAUUGGAAUAUAAUUAGAUUGUGUUGGAUAUGAAUAUAAUUUUUUGUUGUUCAAUAUUGUGUACAUGCACUCAAAGUAGAUUCUGCAAAAAAAAAAAA